rnacentral:lncRNA from 1 species
AUCAAAUCGCGGCAUUUAGGUUAUUGAAAUGAUUUUUAAAAAAAUAACGAAACACUGCGUUUAAGAAAGUGUGUCAACAAAAGCAAAAAUUUCCCAAGUCUCCCCAUCAUCGACAUUGUCACUCUCACUCACACACAGCACUCAACCCUAGCAUAGAUGCCCAUCAUCAUUCUCAAUCAAUUAGCCACUACGUACACUACCCAAACCCUAGCCGGCGGACCGUUCCUUACCCUUGUUCAAACUGCCAGCGUUCAAAUUUCCAUUGAAGCCAUUGUUUGAAUUGCGAACUAAAGCCUAGACUGAGAUUCAUCACUCGCUACUGUAUCUUGAACACAAAGAAUACUCAAAGCUAUUGUCGUGCAUGAUGGGUAAUUUCAUUUUCCAUAAUGUUAAAUACGUAGAAGAAAAUUCUACAUCUUUCGUUGAAAUUCAAGAACUUGAACAAUGUAGCGACAUGGUGAUCUUUGAAAAUUUCUUAUGGUCCACAAUAUGGCCACGUCUUAGGUUGAAACUCAAAAGACUAUGAUACUUUGCAUAACUUCAAGAUCAGCGAUUAGUGAUCGUUGAAAUUUCAACGGAAAAUCUAGAAUUUUCCUCAACGUGUUUGACAUUGUGGACACCUAAACAAUGAAUUCAAUUUUGGACCUAAUUUGAUUGAUACGUUACCCAUCAUGCACGAUAAUUUCUUUGAAAAUUCUUUUUUGUUCAAGAAUCAUAGCCUCAAUCUAUUUAUGUAUCCUUUCUUGUCACUACUAUUAGAAUAAGAAAUCCUUCGCACCACAAGAAAAUUGAUAUCAUUUUAUGACAAAAAUUAUUUUAUCAUAUAAUUAUAAUGGAGUCGUCGUAGAAUUUUGAUCUAUCAAACUUCAUUUUAUCAUGUAAUUAUAAUGGAGUCAGUCACAGAAUUUUGAUUUAUCAAACUAUUAAUGAUGUACUUGUGAUGUAAUAUUUAUCUAUUAAUAGUUUAUGAUAUAGAAUUUUGAUAUCAACAUGUUGACCAUAUUUAAAAAUAAUAUUUUAUUUUUUAUUUUUAUAAUAAAAACGCGGCAUUUAGAUUAUUGAAAUGAUUUUUAAAAAAAUAACGAAACACUGCGUUUAAGAAAGUGUGUCAACAAAAGCAAAAAUUUCCCAAGUCUCCCCAUCAUCGACAUUGUCACUCUCACUCACACACAGCACUCAACCCUAGCAUAGAUGCCCAUCAUCAUUCUCAAUCAAUUAGCCACUACGUACACUACCCAAACCCUAGCCGGCGGACCGUUCCUUACCCUUGUUCAAACUGCCAGCGUUCAAAUUUCCAUUGAAGCCAUUGUUUGAAUUGCGAACUAAAUCCU